AGAAUCAACGCUGGCGGCGUGCCUAACACAUGCAAGUCGAACGAGAAAGUGGGAGCAAUCCCAUGAGUAAAGUGGCGCACGGGUGAGUAACACGUGACUAACCUACCCUUGAGUGGGGGAUAACCUAGGGAAACCUGGGCUAAUACCGCAUAAUACCUACGGGUCAAAGGAGCAAUUCGCUUUAGGAGGGGGUCGCGGCAGAUUAGUUAGUUGGCGGGGUAAUGGCCCACCAAGACAGUGAUCUGUAUCCGGCCUGAAAGGGCGCACGGACACACUGGAACUGGAACACGGUCCAGACUCCUACGGGAGGCAGCAGUGGGGAAUUUUGCGCAAUGGGGGAAACCCUGACGCAGCAACGCCGCGUGGAGGAUGAAGCCCCUUGGGGCGUAAACUCCUUUCGAUCGGGAAGAUAAUGACGGUACCGGAAGAAGAAGCCCCGGCUAACUUCGUGCCAGCAGCCGC
rnacentral:rRNA from 1 species